rnacentral:rRNA from 1 species
GAUGAACGCUGGCGGCGUGCCUAAUACAUGCAAGUAGAACGCUGAAGCUUGGUGCUUGCACCGAGCGGAUGAGUUGCGAACGGGUGAGUAACGCGUAGGUAACCUGCCUCUUAGCGGGGGAUAACUAUUGGAAACGAUAGCUAAUACCGCAUAAAAGUCGAUAUCGCAUGAUAUUGAUUUGAAAGGUGCAAAUGCAUCACUAAGAGAUGGACCUGCGUUGUAUUAGCUAGGUGGUGAGGUAACGGCUCACCAAGGCGACGAUACAUAGCCGACCUGAGAGGGUGAUCGGCCACACUGGGACUGAGACACGGCCCAGACUCCUACGGGAGGCAGCAGUAGGGAAUCUUCGGCAAUGGGGGCAACCCUGACCGAGCAACGCCGCGUGAGUGAAGAAGGUCUUCGGAUCGUAAAGCUCUGUUGUAAGAGAAGAACGAGUGUGAGAGUGGAAAGUUCACACUGUGACGGUAACUUACCAGAAAGGGACGGCUAACUACGUG